CAGUCGCCGCGGUAACACGAAGGGUGCAAGCGUUAAUCGGAAUUAUUGGGCGUAAAGGGUGCGUAGGCGGUUUGGCAAGUUUGGUGUGAAAUCUUCGGGCUCAACUCGAAGUCUGCAUCGAAAACUGCCGGGCUUGAGUAUGGGAGAGGUGAGUGGAAUUUCCGGUGUAGCGGUGAAAUGCGUAGAUAUCGGAAGGAACACCUGUGGCGAAAGCGGCUCACUGGACCAUUACUGACGCUGAGGCGCGAAAGCUAGGGGAGCAAACAGGAUUAGAUACCCCGGUAGUCCCUGUCUCUUAUAC
rnacentral:rRNA from 1 species